rnacentral:tRNA from 1 species
GGCUCCGUGGUGGAAUGGUAGACACGAAGGACUCAAAAUCCUUUGCCGCAAGGUGUGCCGGUUCGAGUCCGGCCGGAGCUACCA